rnacentral:rRNA from 1 species
GCCCCGUGUGGAGGGGGAAACCCCGGAAACUGGGGAUAAUACCCCAUAGAUUAGGGAUGCUGGAAUGCCCCCUAGUUCAAAGGUCCGCCGCCACAGGAUGGGUCUGCGGCCGAUUAGGUUGUUGUUGGGGUAACGGCCCAACAAGCCUUUGAUCGGUACGGGUUGUGGGAGCAAGAGCCCGGAGAUGGAUUCUGAGACACGAAUCCAGGCCCUACGGGGCGCAGCAGGCGCGAAAACUUUACAAUGCGAGAAAUCGUGAUAAGGGAACCCCGAGUGCCCGUAAAUUCGGGCUGUCCGCCAGUGUAAAUAACUGGUGAAGAAAGGGCCGGGCAAGACCGGUGCCAGCCGCCGCGGUAAUACCGGCGGCUCGAGUGGUGGCCGCUAUUACUGGGCUUAAAGCGUCCGUAGCUGGGUUGUUAAGUCUCCUGGGAAAUCCAUCGGCUCAACCGAUGGGCGUUCAGGAGAUACUGGCGACCUAGGGACCGGGAGAGGUGAGAGGUACUCCAGGGGUAGGAGUGAAAUCCUGUAAUCCUUGGGGGACCACCUGUGGCGAAGGCGUCUCACCAGAACGGCUCCGACAGUGAGGGACGAAAGCUGGGGGAGCAAACCGGAUUAGAUACCCGGGUAGUCCCAGCUGUAAACGAUGCGCGUUAGGUGUAUCGGUGACCACGAGUCACCGAGGUGCCGAAGAGAAAUCGUGAAACGUGCCGCCUGGGAAGUACGGUCGCAAGGCUGAAACUUAAAGGAAUUGGCGGGGGAGCAC